rnacentral:lncRNA from 1 species
UUUGGAUAAAUUCAGUGAAAAAUUGAAAGAGUUUUGGAUUUCUAAAACUCUAUCUCAUAGAAUUCGAAAUCCAAACUUAUUCCUUUCAGAUUUGAUCCAAACCACCUUCCAUGUAAGAAAGAAGAGAGGAGACCUUUUGUGAACGUAGGAGAGAUCUGAAAGAGGGCUUUUGUCGCACAAAAUAAGUGGAGAUUGGCAUUGAAUAAGAGAGAGGGCGUGGAGAAGGCUUAUGUGGCGCAAGGUGGAAUCCUAGUCUUACU